rnacentral:rRNA from 1 species
AUUGAACGCUGGCGGCAGGCCUAACACAUGCAAGUCGAACGGUAACAGGAAUCCGCUUGCUGAUUCGCUGACGAGUGGCGGCCGGGUGAGUAAUGUCUGGGAAACUGCCUGAUGGAGGGGGAUAACUACUGGAAACGGUAGCUAAUACCGCAUAACGUCGCAAGACCAAAGAGGGGGACCUUCGGGCCUCUUGCCAUCGGAUGUGCCCAGAUGGGAUUAGCUAGUAGGUGGGGUAAAGGCUCACCUAGGCGACGAUCCCUAGCUGGUCUGAGAGGAUGACAAGCCACACUGGAACUGAGACACGGUCCAGACUCCUACGGGAGGCAGCAGUGGGGAAUAUUGCACAAUGGGCGCAAGCCUGAUGCAGCCAUGCCGCGUGUAUGAAGAAGGCCUUCGGGUUGUAAAGUACUUUCAGCGGGGAGGAAGGGAGUAAAGUUAAUACCUUUGCUCAUUGACGUUACCCGCAGAAGAAGCACCGGCUAACUCCGUG